rnacentral:rRNA from 1 species
AAAUUGAAGAGUUUGAUCAUGGCUCAGAUUGAACGCUGGCGGCAGGCCUAACACAUGCAAGUCUAACACAUGCAAGUC